rnacentral:rRNA from 1 species
AACCAGCACCCUCGAGUGGUCAGGAGGUUUAUUGGGCCUAAAGCAUCCGUAGCCGGUUGCAUAAGUUUUCGGCUAAAUCUAUGCGCUUAACGUAUAGGCCGCCGAAAAUACUGUGCAGCUAGGGAGUGGGAGAGGUACACGGUACUCGAUAGGAAGGGUAAAUACCGUUUAGAUUCUAUUUGAUUGACCACCUGUGGCGAAGGCGGUGUACCAGAACAGUUCCGACGGUGAGGGAUGAAAGCUGGGGGGANC